rnacentral:lncRNA from 1 species
CUCUUCUUUGGCCUUUUGAACAUGGUGUCCUCCCCAUUGGAGUCAAAUGGGGCUUGGCACAACAAGGUGUCACAAGCCAAGGAAUGCAGGUGGCCCCUAGAAGCUGGAAAAGGCAAGGGAACAGAUUGUCCCUGAAAGCCUCCAGGAGGAACACAGCCCUGUUGAUGCCUUGACUUUAGACUUCUGACCUCCAGACUGAUGAGAAUAAAUAAGGGGCUGUUUUUGUCUAUGAAACCUGUGGCGAUUUGUUAAGCAGCAAUCGGAAAUUAAUACAGUCACUUUCUUGUUUCCCGUUGGCUUAUGUUAUUUUCUGCUAAAUCCAAGGUGGGCAUAACAUCCUCUUUGACCAUUUCUGAUAUGAAACAUCUAGUUCAAUGUUAGCACAACUCAGAACUCAGUUCCUGAGGCAGAUGGGAGCACUUUUUAAGAAGAUGGAAUUUUCUAACAACCAGAGCUAUCUCAAAAGUCAUAAGCUUCCUGCCCCUGGAAAUGUGCAAGCCGUGUCUGUCUGCAGAGCUGAAAUUCCUGCGUUCUCAGGAGGCUGGGCAAAUGCUAAGAUGGAGGUUCUGAAAUCUGAUUACUGCACCAAUCACUGUGGGAGAGAGUUAGUGAUAUAUCUACUCCCAGACCCGGAACUACACAGAAUCAAGAUCUAUUAAGGUGGGGCCCCAGAAUUUACAUUGUUUAACCCUCUCCAGGUGAAUCUCCUGAACAUAUUGCUCUACAUUCCCUUUUAAUCUGAGAUCCUAAUAAUAC